rnacentral:rRNA from 1 species
UCGAGAAUCUUCGGCAAUGGGCGCAAGCCUGACCGAGCGACGCCGCGUGGAGGAUGAAGGCCUUCGGGUUGUAAACUCCUGUCGAGGGGGAGGAAGGGGCAACCUUGACCGAUCCCUGGAGGAAGCACGGGCUAAGUUCGUGCCAGCAGCCGCGGUAAGACGAACCGUGCGAACGUUAUUCGGAAUCACUGGGCUUAAAGCGCGUGUAGGCGGAUGGGAACGUCGGUGACUGAAAGCCCCCGGCUCAACCGGGGAAGUGGUGCCGAAACGACCCGUCUGGAGGGACGUAGGGGGACCUGGAACUUCCGGUGGAGCGGUGAAAUGCGUUGAGAUCGGAAGGAACGCCCGUGGCGAAAGCGAGGUCCUGGACGUCUUCUGACGCUGAGACGCGAAAGCUAGGGGAGCGAACG